CGAGAAAUAGCGUGGUGGUGGUUUCUAGCUAUUCGGUGAGCAGGGAUAGACACGAAGAGAGAUGACACACGGACAAGUAGACAGAGACAGAUACAUCUCCUUCAUGAAUGGAAGCAACGCCUUAGUCUGAGAAUGUGAAGCCAAGGGAAGAAGAUUUCUCCUCCCCAGCCCACAGAGAACACACAGGCCUUCCUCAGAAGUCUCCAGAUAAUACCGAUGGAUCCUACAGCUCUGGUAUACACUUCUAAACGCAUAUCAUCCACGUCUGAAGACUGAGACUGUGUGCCCGCUUGGACAAUGCAGAUGAAGGUUGC